UCCUCGCGACUGCAAUUUUCAGGGCGACAUUGCACUCGGUUUGGCAACGAUCACCGGCAAGCGGCAACUUGAUGUUUGCAGCGCGCAAGCAAAUCUCUGCGAAGGUACGAUGUGCCAGAUGUGCGAAGCCCACGUAUCACGAGAGGCCCCACCCAGUCGUCUAGCCGAUGACCUUCGCGAUGGAACGAGCCGAUCGUCAGCCCCAGUCAGUAGACCGGAAGAAUCCUCAUCAUUUGCAGCACCCAGUGUCCGUGAUGAGCUUCCUAGCUGUGCCGCUGUGCAUCCAAGGCGCCCAGCCCAGCGACCGGACACGAAUCAAUACUGACCAGGACC